rnacentral:rRNA from 1 species
AUUGAACGCUGGCGGCAGGCCUAACACAUGCAAGUCGAACGAGUGGCGGACGGGUGAGUAAUGUCUGGGAAACUGCCUGAUGGAGGGGGAUAACUACUGGAAACGGUAGCUAAUACCGCAUACCAUCGGAUGUGCCCAGUUGGGAUUAGCUAGUGGGUGGGGUAAAGGCUCACCUAGGCGACGAUCCCUAGCUGGUCUGAGAGGAGGACCAGCCACACUGGAACUGAGACACGGGCCAAACUCGUACGGGAGGCAGCAGUGGGGAAUAUGGCACAAUGGGCGCAAGCCUGAUGCAGCCAUGCCGCGUGUAUGAAGAAGGCCGUCGGGUUGUAAAGUACUUUCAGCGGGGAGGCGUUACCCGCAGAAGAAGCACCGGCUAACUCCGUGCCAGCCGCCGCGGUAUAC